GGCGGCAGGCUUAACACAUGCAAGUCGAGCGGAUGAAGGUAGCUUGCUACCGGAUUCAGCGGCGGACGGGUGAGUAAUGCUUAGGAAUCUGCCUAUUAGUGGGGGACAACGUUCCGAAAGGAGCGCUAAUACCGCAUACGUCNUACGGGAGAAAGCAGGGGACCUUUGGNCCUUGCGCUAAUAGAUGAGCCUAAGUCGGAUUAGCUAGUUGGUAGGGUAAAGGCCUACCAAGGCGACGAUCUGUAGCGGGUCUGAGAGGAUGAUCCGCCACACUGGGACUGAGACACGGCCCAGACUCCUACGGGAGGCAGCAGUGGGGAAUAUUGGACAAUGGGGGGAACCCUGAUCCAGCCAUGCCGCGUGUGUGAAGAAGGCCUUUUGGUUGUAAAGCACUUUAAGCGAGGAGGAGGCUACCUAGAUUAAUACUUUAGGAUAGUGGACGUUACUCGCAGAAUAAGCACCGGCUAACUCUGUGCCAGCAGCCGCGGUAAUACAGAGGGUGCGAGCGUUAAUCGGAUUUACUGGGCGUAAAGCGUGCGUAGGCGGCCAAUUAAGUCAAAUGUGAAAUCCCCGAGCUUAACUUGGGAAUUGCAUUCGAUACUGGUUGGCUAGAGUAUGGGAGAGGAUGGUAGAAUUCCAGGUGUAGCGGUGAAAUGCGUAGAGAUCUGGAGGAAUACCGAUGGCGAAGGCAGCCAUCUGGCCUAAUACUGACGCUGAGGUACGAAAGCAUGGGGAGCAAACAGGAUUAGAUACCCUGGUAGUCCAUGCCGUAAACGAUGUCUACUAGCCGUUGGGGCCCUUGAGGCUUUAGUGGCGCAGCUAACGCGAUAAGUAGACCGCCUGGGGAGUACGGUCGCAAGACUAAAACUCAAAUGAAUUGACGGGGGCCCGCACAAGCGGUGGAGCAUGUGGUUUAAUUCGAUGCAACGCGAAGAACCUUACCUGGCCUUGACAUACAGAGAACUUUCCAGAGAUGGAUUGGUGCCUUCGGGAACUCUGAUACAGGUGCUGC
rnacentral:rRNA from 1 species